rnacentral:rRNA from 1 species
UACAGAGGGUGCGAGCGUUAAUCGGAAUUACUGGGCGUAAAGCGCGCGUAGGCGGCUUUGCAAGUCGGGUGUGAAAUCCCCAGGCUUAACCUGGGAACUGCAUUCGAGACUGCAUUGCUAGAGUAUGGGAGAGGGAAGUGGAAUUUCCGGUGUAGCGGUGAAAUGCGUAGAUAUCGGAAGGAACAUCAGUGGCGAAAGCGACUUCCUGGUCCAGCACCGACGUCAGGCACGAAAGCGUGGGGAGCAAACAGG